UACGAAGGGGGCUAGCGUUGCUCGGAAUCACUGGGCGUAAAGCGCACGUAGGCGGAUCUUUAAGUCAGGGGUGAAAUCCUGGAGCUCAACUCCAGAACUGCCUUUGAUACUGGGGAUCUCGAGUCCGGAAGAGGUGAGUGGAACUCCGAGUGUAGAGGUGAAAUUCGCAGAUAUCGGGAAGAACACCCGUGGCGAAGGCGGUUCUCUGGGACGGUACUGACGCUGAGACGCGAAAGCGUGGGGAGCGAACAGG
rnacentral:rRNA from 1 species